CCUACGGGAGGCAGCAGUGGGGAAUAUUGCACAAUGGGGGAAACCCUGAUGCAGCCAUGCCGCGUGUGUGAAGAAGGCCUUCGGGUUGUAAAGCACUUUCAGGGAGGAGGAAAGGUCUCUAGCUAAUACCUGCUGGCUGUGACGUUACCCCCAAAAUAAGCACCGGCUAACUCCGUGCCAGCAGCCGCG
rnacentral:rRNA from 1 species